CAGAGGGGGCAAGCGUUAUUCGGAAUUAUUGGGCGUAAAGGGCGCGUAGGCGGCUUUGCAAGUGACGGGUGAAAGCCCUCGGCUUAACCGAGGAACUGCCUGUCAGACUGUGAGGCUCGAGACCGGGAGAGGUGAGUGGAAUUCCCAGUGUAGCGGUGAAAUGCGUAGAUAUUGGGAGGAACACCAGUGGCGAAGGCGGCUCACUGGACCGGAACUGACGCUGAUGCGCGAAAGCGUGGGGAGCAAACAGGAUUAGAUACCCUGGUAGUCCACGCCGUAAACGAUGAGUGCUUGGUGUAGCGGGUAUCGACCCCUGCUGUGCCGAAGUCAACACAUUAAGCACUCCGCCUGGGGAGUACGGUCGCAAGACUG
rnacentral:rRNA from 1 species